GGGGGGGGGGGGGGGGGGGGGGGGGGGGGGGGGGGGGGGGGGGGGGGGGGUGGGGUGGUGGGGUGCGCGGGGGGCGGACGGGUGAGUAACGCGGGGGGAACCUGCCGUUGACUGUGGGAUAACUUCAGGAAACUGGGGCUAAUACCGGCUAGGAGCUCCUGCUGCAUGGUGGGGGUUGGAAAGUUUCGGCGGUUGGGGAUGGACUCGCGGCUUAUCAGCUUGUUGGUGGGGUAGUGGCUUACCAAGGCUUUGACGGGUAGCCGGCCUGAGAGGGUGACCGGCCACAUUGGGACUGAGAUACGGCCCAGACUCCUACGGGAGGCAGCAGUGGGGAAUAUUGCACAAUGGGCGGAAGCCUGAUGCAGCAACGCCGCGUGCGGGAUGACGGCCUUCGGGUUGUAAACCGCUUUCGCCUGUGACGAAGCGUGAGUGACGGUAAUGGGUAAAGAAGCACCGGCUAACUACGUG
rnacentral:rRNA from 1 species